CCCAGACUCCUACGGGAGGCAGCAGUGGGGAAUAUUGCACAAUGGGGGAAACCCUGAUGCAGCGACGCCGCGUGAGUGAAGAAGUAUUUCGGUAUGUAAAGCUCUAUCAGCAGGGAAGAUAAUGACGGUACCUGACUAAGAAGCCCCGGCUAACUACGUGCCAGCAGCCGCGGUAAUACGUAGGGGGCAAGCGUUAUCCGGAUUUACUGGGUGUAAAGGGUGCGCAGGUGGCAGGGCAAGUCAGAUGUGAAAGCCCGGGGCUCAACCCCGGUAUUGCAUUUGAAACUGUCCGGCUAGAGUGCAGGAGAGGUAAGCGGAAUUCCUAGUGUAGCGGUGAAAUGCGUAGAUAUUAGGAGGAACACCAGUGGCGAAGGCGGCUUACUGGACUGUAACUGACACUGAGGCACGAAAGCGUGGGGAGCAAACAGGAUUAGAUACCCCCGUA
rnacentral:rRNA from 1 species